rnacentral:rRNA from 1 species
CUGAACUCAGGAGAAGGAACUCGGCAAAUUGACACCGUAACUUCGGAAGAAGGUGUGCCUUUAGUAGGUGAACCAUUUACUUGGGGAGCCCAAUGAGGUUGCAAAAAAUCGGUGGCUGCGACUGUUUAAUAAAAACACAGCACUCUGCAAACACGAAAGUGGACGUAUAGGGUGUGACGCCUGCCCGGUGCUGGAAGAUUAAAUGAUGGGGUGCAAGCUCUUGAUUGAAGUCCCAGUAAACGGCGGCCGUAACGAUAACGGUCCUAAGGUAGCGAAAUUCCUUGUCGGGUAAGUUCCGACCUGCACGAAUGGCGUAACGAUGGCCACACUGUCUCCUCCUGAGACUCAGCGAAGUUGAAAUGUUUGUGAUGAUGCAAUCUCCCCGCGGAAAGACGGAAAGACCCCAUGAACCUUUACUGUAGCUUUGUAUUGGACUUUGAACAGAUCUGUGUAGGAUAGGUGGGAGGCUUUGAAGUGUGGUCGCUAGAUCGCAUGGAGCCAACGUUGAAAUACCACCCUGGUGUGUUUGAGGUUCUAACCUAGGCCCGUAAUCCGGGUCGGGGACAGUGCAUGGUAGGCAGUUUGACUGGGGCGGUCUCCUCCCAAAGCGUAACGGAGGAGUUCGAAGGUACGCUAGGUACGGUCGGACAUCGUGCUAAUAGUGCAAUGGCAUAAGCGUGCUUAACUGCGAGACUGACAAGUCGAGCAGAUGCGAAAGCAGGACAUAGUGAUCCGGUGGUUCUGUAUGGAAGGGCCAUCGCUCAACGGAUAAAAGGUACUCUGGGGAUAACAGGCUGAUACCGCCCAAGAGUUCAUAUCGACGGCGGUGUUUGGCACCUCGAUGUCGGCUCAUCUCAUCCUGGGGCUGUAGCCGGUCCCAAGGGUAUGGCUGUUCGCCAUUUAAAGAGGUACGUGAGCUGGGUUUAAAACGUCGUGAGACAGUUUGGUCCCUAUCUUCCGUGGGCGCUGCAGAUUUGAGGAAGCCUGCUCCUAGUACGAGAGGACCGGAGUGGACACACCUCUGGUGUAUCGGUUGUCACGCCAGUGGCAUUGCCGAGUAGCUAUGUGUGGAAGAGAUAACCGCUGAAAGCAUCUAAGCGGGAAACUCGUUUCAAGAUGAGAUCUGCCGGGGCCUUGAGCCCCCUAAAGAGUCGUUCAAGACCAGGACGUUGAUAGGUCGGGUGUGGAAGCGCAGUAAUGCGUUAAGCUAACCGAUACUAAUUGCUCGUGCGGCUUGACC